UGUGGUGCGGUGAUGAAGUCUUUAAUUAGGACUAGAGUUUCUGAUCUCUGGGUUUUUACACCCAGAAGUUGAAGACUAACCCUUGGCUGUCUGAGCACCUAU